rnacentral:rRNA from 1 species
UACGGAGGGGGCUAGCGUUGUUCGGAAUUACUGGGCGUAAAGCGCACGUAGGCGGCUUUGUAAGUUAGAGGUGAAAGCCCGGAGCUCAACUCCGGAAUUGCCUUUAAGACUGCAUCGCUAGAAUUGUGGAGAGGUAAGUGGAAUUCCGAGUGUAGAGGUGAAAUUCGUAGAUAUUCGGAAGAGCACCAGUGGCGAAGGCGACUUACUGGACACAUAUUGACGCUGAGGUGCGAAAGCGUGGGGAGCAAACAGG